rnacentral:sRNA from 1 species
AAAAACAAGCAAUGGCUCGUUAGAUAAAGAAGAAUAACAGAAAUUCGCUGGAAUUAUGGACCAUCGUUAACAAAUAGAUGUCAAUUUGUUUUUGGAGCAAGGUCCGAGGAUGUAGAGAUCCUUGUGUUUGCUCAUACACUUGAAUCGCGAACUCUGAACGUUGGUAUAUCGGAAUCGCUAUAUUAUAUUAGGCAUUGAGGCUGCCAUUAAUUUAUUUUCAUUUUAUGCUUCGACCCUGACAGGUCUGCUGUAUAUUCAACAUGACACAAAAUACCAAAAUGAAGCAUUUUUGAACGGGGUGCAAGGUCCGAGGAUAUCAUAUCCUUGUGUU